GUGGGGAAUAUUGGACAAUGGGCGAAAGCCUGAUCCAGCCAUGCCGCGUGUGUGAAGAAGGUCUUCGGAUUGUAAGGCACUUUAAGUUGGGAGGAAGGGCAGUAAGUUAAUACCUUGCUGUUUUGACGUUACCGACAGAAUAAGCACCGGCUAACUUCGUGCCAGCAGCCGCGGUAAUACGAAGGGUGCAAGCGUUAAUCGGAAUUACUGGGCGUAAAGCGCGCGUAGGUGGUUUUGUAAGUUGGAGGUGAAAUCCCCGGGCUAAACCUGGGAACUGCCUCCAAAACUGCAUGACUAGAGUACGGUAGAGGGUAGUGGAAUUUCCUGUGUAGCGGUGAAAUGCGUAGAUAUAGGAAGGAACACCAGUGGCGAAGGCGACUACCUGGACUGAUACUGACACUGAGGUGCGAAAGCGUGGGGAGCAAACAGGAUUAGAAACCCGAGUAGUCC
rnacentral:rRNA from 1 species